UGGUCCUCCGCACCAUUGUGGGCCUCGGGGUUCUGUGGAUGGCUGGCUGGCUGUGUGGAGCACGUCUCAUGGACUGCACGGGGAUUCUGAUGCUUCCUUCGCCCUCGCAUUCGAUGGAGGUGGAUGAUGGAGGCGUUUCCGCUUUCGAUUUUUUGUUGCAGAGCUUCUGUUCUGAGACGAAAGUGAGACAAUGUUCACUUAGACACUUGAAACUGUAGAGUAAUUUGGAUCGACUACCAGGACUUGUGGUUACGACAAGUGUUUUUCUCGGAAAGCACUGCAAGAAGAAUAUGCAGGCGAGGGGCUUUUUCUUCAAGUAGGCUGCGACAAUGUCCUCCGAAGUGUGAAGGUUAUAGAUUUUGUCACAUAAAAAAUGUUAUUUGUAACACAGCAUUGAGGGUGGUAAUAGACUGCUACUAGAUGUAAAAUAGAAUUGAGUUUAAGGUAACGAAACCAGUAGCAAUUUGGCACAGUAAUAACUUCUUUUAGUAACAGCUGAGCUUCUACACUAGCAUUCGAUCAGCAAGAGUCGCAAUAGCAUGAGAUUAAACGUUUCAAGUACCAACUCAUGGUAAGGACCAAUGUCGGUGUAUUCCACAAGUCGUCAAUCGCCGGCCUCGUUUGGGAUAUAGUAGCACUAAAAGAAUAAGUAAUCUUAACGUUGACUCAUGCUUUUUAUUCCUAUCCUACGUACCUCUUUGUUACGUUGGGCAACAGUCGUAAACAUGCCGAUUAAAGUGUAGAAAAGAUAAGACUUUCAAAUAUGAGUCGCGGGUUUUCAGAGACUUAGCGUUGUUGUGUUUUACAUAUGUUUCAUCCUCAAUCUCUCCUUCUUCUACGGAAUUUUAUUAUGGAUGUCAAAUGUGUGUUGUGAAACUUAUAACGAACUGAAAAGCUACAACUUAUUGGCC